UGGGUCUGUGUGAGGUCUCAGCAGCUGCCUCUCUCAAUGUCUCCCCAGGGGACAGCAAGGUGAACCCUGGGGCAGGAAGAGAGGGGAAGCUGAUUUGCAUAAAGAACUUUUUUAUCCUGUUGGGUCUGGGGAGGCAUGAAAAGGCCCUGAGGAAAACAAACCCCAGCUGAGAAGCCUGAAGACACUUAGCCUUCGUGAGUGUCCCCAUCAUGGCCUGGAUGAUGCUUCUCCUCGGACUACUUGCUUAUGGCUCAGGGGUGGAUUCUCAGACUGUGGUGACCCAGGAGCCAUCGUUCUCAGUGUCCCCUGGAGGGACAGUCACACUCACCUGUGGCCUGAACUCUGGCUCAGUCUCUACCAGUUACUACCCCAGCUGGUACCAGCAGACCCCAGGCCACGCUCCACGAAUGCUCAUCUACAGCACAAACAAUCGCCCUUCUGGGGUCCCUGAUCGCUUCUCUGGCUCCAUCCUUGGGAACAAAGCUGCCCUCACCAUCACAGGGGCUCAGGCAGAUGAUGAAUCUGAUUAUUACUGUAUGCUGUACAUGGGUAGUGGCAUUUCCACAGUGAUUUAAACCUAUGAGGAAGUGCAACUAAAACCUCUUUAUAUACUAAGAACAGUUCAGCUCUUAGAGUCAGGAGGGAAAGGGAGAGGGUGGAAAUGGUCAAUGCCGUGAGUGAGGAGGCCCCUUGCCCCAAUCUCUUAUGCAGGGGUUCACUGCCAAGUGUCUCAUCCAGUUCUCUCUCCGGAUGUGUCCACUUCCCCAGUGUGACUUUUCCAUGGCUGUGCUUCCUCUCUCCCUCUCUACCUAGAAUAAUGUGGAGGAGAAUUAUCUACAAAAUAUGUAAGCUCACAUUGAGUCACAGAGA